rnacentral:rRNA from 1 species
GACAGAGGUGCCAAGCGUUAGGCGGAAUCACUGGGCUUAAAGCGUGUGUAGGCGGAUUUGUAAGUACCUUGUGAAAUCCCAUGGCUCAACCAUGGAACUGCUCGGUAUACUGCGAAUCUUGAGCCACUUAGGGGCUACCGGAACAAAUGGUGGAGCGGUGAAAUGCGUAGAUAUCAUGUGGAACGCCAAUGGUGAAAACAGGUAGCUGGGAGUGUGCUGACGCUGAGACACGAAAGCCAGGGGAGCGAACGGG